rnacentral:rRNA from 3 species
GAACGUCGUGAGACAGUUCGGUCCCUAUCUGCCGUGGGUGUAGGAUACUUGAGAGGAGUUGCCCCUAGUACGAGAGGACCGGGGUGAACGAACCACUGGUGGACCAGUUGUCGUGCCAACGGCAGUGCUGGGUAGCUAUGUUCGGACAGGAUAACCGCUGAAGGCAUCUAAGCGGGAAGCCCCCCUCAAAACAAGGUAUCCCUGAGGGCCGAGGUAGACCACCUCGUCAAUAGGCCAGAGAUGUAAGCGUGGUAACACGUUCAGUUGACUGGUACUAAUCGCCCGAUAGGCUUGAUC